UACGUAGGACCCAAGCGUUAUCCGGAGUGACUGGGCGUAAAGAGUUGCGUAGGCGGUUAGUAAAGCGAAUAGUUAAAGAUGAUGGCUCAACCAUCAGAACAUUAUUCGAACUCACUAACUCGAGAAUGGUAGAGGUGGCUGGAAUUUCCUGUGUAGGAGUGAAAUCCGUAGAUAUAGGAAGGAACACCAAUGGCGUAGGCAGGCCACUGGACCAUUUCUGACGCUGAGGCACGAAAGCGUGGGGAGCGAACCGG
rnacentral:rRNA from 1 species